rnacentral:rRNA from 1 species
GAUGAACGCUGGCGGCGUGCUUAAUACAUGCAAGUCGAGCGAACAGACCCCCAUCUUGCUGGGGGUACUCGAGCGGCGGACGGGUGAGUAACACGUGGGUAAUCUGCCUAGUAGUCUGGGAUAACCUCGGGAAACUGGGUCUAAUACCGGAUAGGAUAAUGAUUCGGAGUGUUAUGGAGGAAAGGUCGUUUUUGUGGUGCCGGAUGAGUUCGCCCGCGCCGCGUUAGCUGGUGGGUAAGUUACCGGCUAAGCAGGGCAUCGGUGCGUAGCCGACCUGAGAGGGUGCGCGGCCACAGUGGAACUGAGACACGGUCCAGACUCCUACGGGAGGCAGCAGUAGGGAAUCUUCCGCAAUGGGCGAAAGCCUGACGGAGCAACGCCGCGUGAGUGAUGAAGGUCUUCGGAUCGUAAGACUCUGUUAUUAGGGAAGAACAAAUGUGUAAGUAACUAUGCACGUCUUGACGGUACCUAAUCAGAAAGCCACGGCUAACUACGUG